rnacentral:rRNA from 1 species
UACAGAGGGUGCAAGCGUUAAUCGGAAUUACUGGGCGUAAAGCGUGCGUAGACGGUUAUGUAAGUCAGAUGUGAAAGCCCCGGGCUUAACCUGGGAAUGGCGUUUGAGACUGCAUAGCUAGGGUGCGGAAGAGGGAAGCGGAAUUUCCGGUGUAGCGGUGAAAUGCGUAGAUAUCGGAAGGAACACCAGUGGCGAAAGCGGCUUCCUGGUCCAGCACCGACGUUCAGGCACGAAAGCGUGGGGAGCAAACAGG